AAGCCAUGAUGUGAACAAUUUCUGACAAGUCAUUUAAAUUCAGUUCAUGCGUCAUUAAGGGUCUCUAAAUCUUUUUGCUCGAAUUCAGUGAUGUCUCGUCUGCGUUG